CUAAAAUAUACGUUUCUGUAUUAUUCCACCUACCGCAUUCUUUCCCGAAACAUUACGAUACCCAGUCAAUGUUUUGUUUGAGUAGGUCAGUCACGAGAGAUUAGUUGUGACGCCUGAACCUGGCAUCAUCUCCCUGACCUGUGGUAUUACCUACCUAUCUGAGCCGAGCACGGGCGCCUCUGCUCCUCCUAGCGGGUCGUCGCUCGCUCGUCGAGAGCAGUUCCAGAAACAGCCUUAUCAUUUCAAGGUUAUUUUUCGUUACUCAAGGGCCUUUACAUUCUGAUCCUAUGGGAGUAUUUAUUUUCACGGCGUUGCUCUGGACAUUUAGUGGAGUGGGAUGUCUGCCACUAUCCUCACCUCCUGUGGAUGGAAAGGUAACUGAUUGUUUUCAGGACUCUCUGAAGGGUAAUGGAGCUGUUCCGCAUCCUGGUUGUGAGACGCAACUAACAGCAGGUAAUGCGUUACAAAGGCACCAGGGCCUGUUGAGGGAACUGCAGGAGCUUGCCCAGGACGAGAGGGAGAGGGAGCAGGAGUUCAGGAGGAAGAAGGAGCUGUAUGAGGGGAACCAGUCUGAGGGAGAGAAGAGCCAAGAAGAGAGAGAGGAGAAGAACAAUGAACUGAGGAUGAAAAAAGUGACAGAGGAGGAGGAAGCAAAGGUAGAAAUGAUGGACAGAACAAAGGACGAGAUGAGGGAGGAGCCCAGACUAGAGGAGAAAAGUGCUGAUGAGGAGGAGAGCACCAAAGAGCUAGAGGAGCUCCUCGCGGCUGAAAUCACAAAGAAAGCGGAGGAGGAAAACGAUGACAGGGAACUUGAGGAACUGCUCAAAGAGCUUAAAAAGAAAAGGUACGAGUCGGCGAAGGAAAAAGAGCUCCAGCAAGGGUCAGAAGCUGAGGAGGAGAGAAGGAAGAAAGAGGAGGAAGAGAAGGAGGAACAGAGAAAGGGAGAGAAAAGGCGUCUAGAAAUCCUUGAAAGUGAAGAGAAGAAACGCAGCGAAGAGAGAAAGAACAACGAGGUGGAGCUCCUCGUGGAGAAAGAGAAGGUGGAGCGAGAGCUCAAAGAGCUUCUGAAAGAACAGGAUAGCAAGAAGAAUGCAGAGAAGGAGAAAGAGAGAGAGGAAAAACAGGAGGAACUAGAGGAGCUCCUUAAAAAAAUGAAACACGUCAAAGAGGAGGAGCAAGAAGAAGAGGAGGAGAAAAAUAGAGAGAAAGCCAGGGAGGCGGAGACGGUGAACGGACAUGGUCAGGAGCAGGUUGCCACUCCUCGGGAACUGGGGACGGAAGCUGGAGAGGACGACGAUGUGAAGGAGCCUCAGCAGAAACGAAUGAUGGAGAAAGCGAGUGAUGAAAGCACCCGGCAAUUUGAAAAGGAAAGGUACAGGGACAAUGAUGAUGAUGAUGAAGAAGAUGAGGAUGUGGAGGAGGAAGACUGGGAAGAGGAAGAGUCAGAUGUGGAGAGAAAGGAUAAUGAUGAUGAUGAUGAUGCUGAGAAGGAUGAAGGAGAUGAGCUUCUGGAGAUUGAGGCUGAGCUGCGAAAAGUGACUGCAGAACUUCGAGAGCUACGUAGGGGUCAUUAAGGUCGAAAUGAUCAUGCAGAUGCAUACACACAAACACACACCCACACACCCACACACAACCACACACAGGUAAGAUGCCCUGCUAGGCCUAGCUGGUAAAGGUUUGAAUCAUACGUUCAUGUCCAGUUGCGGUCAACUAUAUAAAAGAUGUAUGUAUACUUGAGUUUGCUUUGGUUGAAAUGGCUGCUGUGUGGCACAUAUAUCAUACAAACAGCAUAUUUACAACACACACAUUGUACCUGUAUUCUGGAUUAUACAAUUAUGAAUAACAUGACACAAGACUUUUUCACAUGCGUCACACUCAGAAACAUGAACAACUAAAUAGAUACGUGGAUUGAUCAUAACGCUUUUGAUGGCAUAUAUUUCUGUAUUGUUGUUCCAUUAAACCCCCCCCUCGCAAUCAGAGAUUACAAGGUCUUUAGACAUGUUGCCGUUAUCAGAGAUUGUUUAGUAAGAUGAGAAAUCACCAUAUGUAAAGCUUUCGUUAGGUCAGAGAUUGAUUAGUUAGGAAGAUGUGUAUAUAUGACCUGCUGAUGUAAAACUUUGGUUAGGUCAUAUAUUGCUUAGUGAGCAAGAUGUAAGAUCUGCUAGUGUAAAGCUCUAGUUACAUCUGAGUUUCUGAACCCUAUCCCAGAUGUAAGAUCUGCUAGUGUAAAGCUCUAGUUACAUCUGAGUUUCUGAACCUUCUCCCAGAUGUAAGAUCUGCUAGUGUAAAGCUCUAGUUACAUCUGAGUUUCUGAACCUUCUUCCAGAUGUAAGAUCUGCUGGUGUUCCGUACACAUUUUCAAAGCUUGAGGAUUUGUUGACUAAUUGAAUCAGCUGUACACUUAUAGGGUUAAAACAAAUACCUGAAAUGUCAGAGUGGAGAGGAUUGGGAAACCCAGGCUACAUUUCAGGAUUUAAGGUCUUUCAAUGGCAUAGCGGUCCUCUUUACAACUUGUCCUAUGUAUAUAGAUGUUGUGCAAUAAUGAAAUGUGAGCUUUGUUGCUGUCACUUUAACUCUGUUAUAAUAUUGACCAUAUUGAUUCAUGUGAUUGAGUUCCAUGUGUUUGUAUUGACAAAAUGUCAGGGUUAUGUUUAAUCUGGCUCAUGCACUGUUAAUGUUAGACUGUUAAUGAAGAAACCGGGGUGACAAUGAGAAUGAACAUGACAAUGGGGACCUCGGUAGUAAGAGAUGUCAUAGUGUUUCCGAAGCUAUGAAAGCCAAGUACAGUGGUCAUAACUUGGGGUUCAACUGAGGUUGGUCCCCACGGAGUUCUUAAACCCCCCCCCCCCCCCAAAAAAAAAAACCCAUAAUGAAUAUUAACACCCACCCGGCGCUUCUAAAAUAUUUUAUAUCCUCACACAGAAAUAAGCCCUGCAAUUAUAUUAGCAACAUCUAUCAUCUAUUGUAAUCUAACAGUACACUUCAGAGCCUAUGAAAGGAAUGGUCUGAGGAACGACGGGGUACUCCUCACACUGUGAUAAUCAUGUUAGAUGUCUAAACUACAGACCCUAAACGUUAUCUUUUUGAUCGUUAGCAACAUGUUGUUUGCUUGAAUGUCCCCCUCCCCCCAACAAAAAAAAAAGGCUUUCACUGCCAAGGGUUUAGUCCAAUAAUAGUCUAACUUUUACACCUGACCAUGUUAAUAAACCCAGCGCUCCACAUCCAUUCAACACUGUUGUGGGAGUCAGAUUUGCUGGGCUCUUAUUUGGAUUAUGGGACCUAGCUCAAUUGAACCCCUGGUCGUAACGUACUGAUUUUACAAGUAUAGUAGAAAUGGUCCGCAACAAGAUUUGCAGGGUUUUUCCUGACACUCAGGCCUUUCCGUUUGCUAGUUUGGUCACCCAGGUGGACAAGGUCAUAGAAAUAGAAUGAAUCGAUCUGUCCAUCCUAGUAAUUCUACUUCUAUGCCCAGGGUCAAGACACCACCCCAGUUUUUCACCCAGCUUUGCACUCUUAUCUCAAUCAGCCAAGGAGGUCUAAAGCAGGGAGAGACGAUGACAAGCCAUCUCUAGUAUCUGGUAGUAAUAAACGCUGAAGACUGUUUUAAAACCUUUUUAAGGUGGCGGGUUAAAUAUAAUCGUUUCGUUGUUUCAUGUGAUCACUGGUACGUAGCAGCCUUGUUUGAAUGAGACGUCCUGGGAAACAGUACCCCCUUGUGUCCAUUCAGUAGUGGUGCACUGCUCUCUGCAAGUUGGCAAGGGUUUACACGAGUGGUGACCAUUUAUGGCAGUUACGUUCAUAAAAACAUUAACUCAUGAUAUAACAUAUGAAGCUAUACAAAUCUACAUAAUAACGUAUGCAAUAAAGCCAAAUAUAUCAUCAUGCAUUUCAGUAAAUGUCCUUUAUUAACUUCAAAUUCAACAUUAAUGGACUUUUAAAUAUCAGUCAUCCCUUUUCUAUUGGACAUUGAUUCACGGUGACAUUGUUACACUGGUUUCUCUCUGGGGAUGUGUCCGAAAAAUGACAGGAAAGCCAGCACACGGCCAAUGCUCCGGACUAAACGCUAUAUUUAGAUUAACGUUUCCUCUAGAUUAAUUAAUCUUAUUUUAAAGUGUUCUUUACUAGCCCGGUUACCUGCACUUUUACGGUUGUGUAACAAAGCCAACACGCCUACUUUAUAAAUGGAAUCAACAUGAUGCGAGAAGUCGAGCUGAGUCCACUCGGUGUCCUGAGAUUAACUUAAGAAUGUACACAUGUUCAACAUUAAGAAAUGUAUUUACCAAAACGGGUAGUAGGAAGUGAGUGGACUGAACAGGAGACAUUCGCUGGAGGUCAACGUCUGUGCUGUUAUUUGUGCCUGCUGUAUCUUUUGUGCUGCCUGUCGAUCAAUAAAAGCACAGUCUAUGAUACUACUGAAUGCCGGCUUCUUCUUAUUGCUCGAUAGCAGUAGCAAAACCCCA
ensembl:lncRNA